CUCAAAAUGGUCCCCCUGCUUCCUUUACCUUGUUUCCUGCUUCCUCAUGGGUCAGGAGCGCUCGUAGAAGCCAUAAAACUUCGUGGAAUCUUCGUGUUUCAGCUAGGAAGACGAGAUUAAAAGAUAAAACGGAGAAUUGCCAGGCCUGCUGAAGAAUGAAGAACACACAAAGGAUUUUGAAGCCUCGGAUUUUCGUAAAUGCAGUCUCCCAUUCAUUUUAAUGCAGGAAAAAGCCAGGAUGUACUGUUCAAUUUUCAGAUGGUGGCAGAGCCUUAAACAGCUUCAAAAAGGUGGAUGUAAUAUAACCACAACAACAACAAAAAUACGAGACUGCAACAUCAAAAGAGGAACUUCAUUCAUCAUUUUCCAGGAGAUCAGCAAAGCCUGGAGUCCUAGCCUGCAUUCCAGAGG